GAUGAACGCUGGCGGCGUGCCUAAUACAUGCAAGUCGAGCGAACGGACGAGAAGCUUGCUUCUCUGAUGUUAGCGGCGGACGGGUGAGUAACACGUGGAUAACCUACCUAUAAGACUGGGAUAACUUCGGGAAACCGGAGCUAAUACCGGAUAAUAUUUUGAACCGCAUGGUUCAAAAGUGAAAGACGGUCUUGCUGUCACUUAUAGAUGGAUCCGCGCUGCAUUAGCUAGUUGGUAAGGUAACGGCUUACCAAGGCAACGAUGCAUAGCCGACCUGAGAGGGUGAUCGGCCACACUGGAACUGAGACACGGUCCAGACUCCUACGGGAGGCAGCAGUAGGGAAUCUUCCGCAAUGGGCGAAAGCCUGACGGAGCAACGCCGCGUGAGUGAUGAAGGUCUUCGGAUCGUAAAACUCUGUUAUUAGGGAAGAACAUAUGUGUAAGUAACUGUGCACAUCUUGACGGUACCUAAUCAGAAAGCCACGGCUAACUACGUGCCAGCAGCCGCGGUAAUACGUAGGUGGCAAGCGUUAUCCGGAAUUAUUGGGCGUAAAGCGCGCGUAGGCGGUUUUUUAAGUCUGAUGUGAAAGCCCACGGCUCAACCGUGGAGGGUCAUUGGAAACUGGAAAACUUGAGUGCAGAAGAGGAAAGUGGAAUUCCAUGUGUAGCGGUGAAAUGCGCAGAGAUAUGGAGGAACACCAGUGGCGAAGGCGACUUUCUGGUCUGUAACUGACGCUGAUGUGCGAAAGCGUGGGGAUCAAACAGGAUUAGAUACCCUGGUAGUCCACGCCGUAAACGAUGAGUGCUAAGUGUUAGGGGGUUUCCGCCCCUUAGUGCUGCAGCUAACGCAUUAAGCACUCCGCCUGGGGAGUACGACCGCAAGGUUGAAACUCAAAGGAAUUGACGGGGACCCGCACAAGCGGUGGAGCAUGUGGUUUAAUUCGAAGCAACGCGAAGAACCUUACCAAAUCUUGACAUCCUUUGACAACUCUAGAGAUAGAGCCUUCCCCUUCGGGGGACAAAGUGACAGGUGGUGCAUGGUUGUCGUCAGCUCGUGUCGUGAGAUGUUGGGUUAAGUCCCGCAACGAGCGCAACCCUUAAGCUUAGUUGCCAUCAUUAAGUUGGGCACUCUAAGUUGACUGCCGGUGACAAACCGGAGGAAGGUGGGGAUGACGUCAAAUCAUCAUGCCCCUUAUGAUUUGGGCUACACACGUGCUACAAUGGACAAUACAAAGGGCAGCGAAACCGCGAGGUCAAGCAAAUCCCAUAAAGUUGUUCUCAGUUCGGAUUGUAGUCUGCAACUCGACUAACAUGAAGCUGGAAUCGCUAGUAAUCGUAGAUCAGCAUGCUACGGUGAAUACGUUCCCGGGUAU
rnacentral:rRNA from 1 species